AAACUAACAAGGAUUCCCCUAGUAACGGCGAGUGAAGCGGGAAGAGCUCAAAUUUGUAAUCUGGCACCUUCGGUGUCCGAGUUGUAAUCUCGAGAAGUGUUUUCCGCGCCGGACCGCAUAUAAGUCUGUUGGAAUACAGCGUCAUAGUGGUGAGAACCCCGUAACUGAUGCGGAUGCCCGGUGCUUUGUGAUACACUUUCGAAGAGUCGAGUUGUUUGGGAAUGCAGCUCAAAUUGGGUGGUAAAUUCCAUCUAAAGCUAAAUAUUGGCGAGAGACCGAUAGCGAACAAGUACCGUGAGGGAAAGAUGAAAAGCACUUUGGAAAGAGAGUUAACAGUACGUGAAAUUGUUGGAAGGGAAACGCUUGAAGUCAGACUUGCUAUUUGGAGUUCAGCCGCAAGGUGUAUUCUUCGAUUUGCAGGCCAGCAUCAGUUUUCUGGGGUGGAAAAGGGUAUUGAGAAGGUAGCAGUUUCGGCUGUGUUAUAGCUCUUUGCUGGAUUCAUCCUGGGGGACUGAGGAACGCAGCACGCUUUUUGCAAAGUCUUCGGGCUUUCGUGCUAGGAUGCGGGAU
rnacentral:rRNA from 1 species